rnacentral:rRNA from 1 species
UACGAAGGGGGGCUAGCGUUGCUCGGAAUUACUGGGCGUAAAGGGCGCGUAGGCGGAUAUCUAAGUUGGGGGUGAAAUCCCGGGGCUCAACCUCGGAAUUGCCUUCAAAACUGGAUAUCUUGAGUUCGGGAGAGGUGAGUGGAACUCCGAGUGUAGAGGUGAAAUUCGUAGAUAUUCGGAAGAACACCAGUGGCGAAGGCGACUCACUGGCCCGAUACUGACGCUGAGGUGCGAAAGCGUGGGGAGCAAACAGGG